UUGGCAUUGAGCAUGUAGUUGGCGCGUGUGGGAAAAGGGUUGUUCAUGGCAUGACAAGUUGUUUGGGAUGGCAAAUCGUGGCAUGGUGUUAUUGCUGCAUAUAAGUGCCUAACGGGGCGUGCUUGGGCGUUUUGGUUGCUAUUUGUUGCUAUUAAUGCCGAAAUGCAUUAUGAAGCAGCUUGUGGUGGCCAUUUCGUUUGGGCAUCGUGUACGUAUGGUGCGUGAGUGGUGGUUGGCUUGUUUGGGCACGUUGGAUCCCUGCUCGGGCAGCGACGGCGUGCCUUGCUAGCCUUUUCAGUUGGCGGCCCAAGUGCGUAUUAGCCUUGGCCACUCUCGGUUUCCUGUGUUGCAUACCUAUCGCGAGGGCAUUCAGUCGGUUAAAAACGUCCCAUUUCCGCCUUGUGCUCGGCCUCUUUCGGGGCCGUGGUGCGGGGUGGACCACAAAGCAGUUGCCGUGUUCCACUUCCCAUGCGUCCUCGCACUUGUUUGGGUUGUUGGCCCAUGGCAUCGCGCUCGAUCUCUUGGAUGCUGAAAAUCGUGUGGGCACGAGGCCUCCGGUUUCUAUUUGCCCCGAAACAAAGCGUUCUACGCUUCGUGCAAACGACGACCGUUGCCGUUUUGAUCGAGUCCUCGUGGCUUAGAUCAUGCGGCGCCGGCGCCGAUGAGGAAUGCU
rnacentral:misc_RNA from 1 species